rnacentral:lncRNA from 1 species
CUCACACUGGUCUUCGAAGCAGAUUGAAGCUGCUUCAUCUCAUUCCUGAUUCUAAUUGAUCCCUUCAGUGGUUCGUUCUUGAAUUAGCAACAUAGAACUGGCCCAAAUGGGUUUAAAGUGGUUAGAACUUGCUCAUGACCAGUUAAAAUCUUUUCUCACAAAGAAAAAUCAGUUCUGACCAGUUCAAAUCUAUUUUGACUAGUUUAAACUAAUUCUGCAGAACUGGAGCCUGAGGUCGGUAAACUCAGAAAGAUGGCUGAAGACGAUGCUGAUCCGAGCCAAAGCAAGGAAUCAGAUACUCUGGAACUGGCUUACCUGUAUUUAGAAGGGUACUUCAUUAGGAGCCAAAAUGACAGGGCUCAAAAGAUUCCAGGUGAGUUGUCAUAUUCUGAUGCCCUGAUGUUGGGAUCAAUAGAGGAUGGACACAGAAAAAAAUCAAGAAUUCUACAUCAUUUUGAUGAAUCAGGUAUGUAAUGUGAAGAAUGGAUAAAGGAUAGGAAGAUAUAUUGGAGAAAGGAGAAAGGAACAGAUAUUUUUUUAGAAUAAAAAUUUGUUGUGGUGUUACAGUUCUUUAAUUUUAAUGAUUGUACUCAACCCCAUAAAGUAGGCAAUUAUUCCAAUUUCACAAAUGACAAGUAAUGAGAACCUAAAAAAGGGUAAGAUAGUGGAGGU